UAUAGAAUCGUUUAUAAAUUUUAUUAAUACUAUAACUAUUAUUUUUUACUCGUAAUUCAGCUAUUACUACCAUUUAGCACUUGAUCAAAUUAAGUAAAUUAAAAUAAUUAAGAAUUUAAUUUAGAAAAAGCAAAAACUUCACACAGGUGAAAUCGGGUAAUUCAACUAGUAUAAUAUAAUAUAACAAGGUUCCUCCUGUUUCACUUGUUAAUAAUAUUUAAGGAUAUUAAAAAGUAAAUAAUAAUGAUGUAAAAAAUAUAAAUAACUAUGAUGAACAGUCCAGUUAUUGAACACCCUCCAGUAAUUGAACAAAGUCUACUUAUGUUUUAAUAUGAAAAAAACUAGAUAUCUUAUUUAAUAACUAAUUUUUGUUUUCAAUAUUAAAUAUAAUGGUCAUACUGUAUAACCAUAGUUUGAUAAUUAACACGUGAUAACAAACAAGUUAUAACAGUUUAAAAUCACGAUAAUCGAAUUUUCAUCUGUUUGGAUCAAAUUUUUCGAAGUGUUCAAUUACUAGUAACUACAAUUCAGCAAAAUCUAUUAAUUGAACUCUUGUUCAAUCACUGGUACAGCUUGAACAUAACUUUAUCCAAUGAUUGAACAGCUUGGAUUUACAAAAAAUAUUAUACAGAAUCGUGGGAGAAACAUUUGUUUUGGCCAAAACCUGACACCCAGAAGAAAAAAAACAAAAGUAAAAUAAAGUUACCUUUUGCUGUUACAGCAAUUAAGUGGAGGGAAUAUCACGCAAAUAAAGAGCAGGAAAAACUAAAAAAAGAAGAAAAACUUACACUGAAACGAAAAUGUAGAGAUGAAAUAAAAAAAUAAAAAUUUCUUAAAGUUGCUAAAAAAACCACAACUAAGCAAAAAAACAAAGAACAAGAACGUCAGAAACCAAGAACUUUAAAAUAUACAAAAAAAAAUUAAAUUGGGUAUAAUUACGGAGUCUGAAAAUGAUGCCACAUGUAGGUAUUGUAAAGAACCUUACACUUCAUCGAAAAGUGGUGAACCUUAGAUCAAGUGUUGUGGUUGUGCUGAAUGGGCUUAUGAACUCUGUGCUGAUUUUGAAAACACUGUUGCUUACAUUUGUGAUUUCUGCCGUUAAUUUUAAUUAUUUUACUUAUUUUUACUUAUUUUUAAAUACUCAAUAUUAUAUAACUGUUAUAUCUUUA